rfam:Manacus vitellinus contig4487, whole genome shotgun sequence.
UCUGGCAAUGACGACACUCUUGCCCUCUCUGAGCAGCUGUGGCUGAGGAGAGCAGUUCUAGCGCUCUGUGGGGCUGAGCCAGA